ACCGAGCCGUGAGCAUAAAAUACCAGGAAAUGUUCUUUAAACAGCUCAGCACAGUCACUGCUCCCAGAACCACAGCCGCCGUUUUCUCACUGCAAUAUUUACUUUUCAGCUUCUGGCAACAAAUGGCCACAAACCGAUCAAAGGUGAAAGUGACGGUGAACCAGACAGAGCAGUCAGUGGCUGCAUAAAGCAGGACGGCGUGGAUAUUACACACGGGGACGGAGUCCCUCAGGAAAUAAAACUGUUCCUGAUAAACAAUGGGAAUGUGUCUCAGGAUCAGGUCGAGGAUAAUGACCAGGAGAUCCGCCGCUGCCAUGGCCCCCAGGUAUCUGUGUUACCUGUUUGGAUACAGGAUUGGCUGGCCAGCAGAAGACAGCAAGUGGUAGCGGAAGGAAAAUAUUCUGCCUGGAAGUCUGUGAAUCUCAGCAGUGUGGAAACAAGCCCUUCGGCCCAACAAGUACAUACCAACUUUCCAAAGAGUAACCUUCCCAUGCCCUUACAGUUACCACUGACUAGUGCACCUAAAGUAGAAAUCGCGGAACACGAUGGACUAUUUGACCAAUCCACUUGAAUUAUACAGCUUUGGGCUGUGGCAGGAAACGGGAGCACCAUCAGAAGCUCACGCAGACAAGGGGAGAAGAUCCAAACUCCACGCAGAUAGUCACCCGAGGCUGGAAUUGAACUCAUACCCCUGAUGCUGUGAUGGAACAGUGUGAACUACUGAGCCACUGUGCUAACCUGGAACCUCCUGCCAGCCUAAUGCAAAGGGAAUUCAGCCAAAUCCAACUGUCCCAGGAUAAAAUCCCAUUGCUAGCAGCUGUGUGAGUACAAUAUCUUCAGAAGCAGAAUCACAUUUUGGACAAUCUCUCAAUUUUUCCUUUUGUCAUGAGUUACACUAAUAUUUGGAUAAGGUUCUUUCAACGUGAAAUUGCACAGAUUUGUGUGUGAGUUUGUGUGUGUGUGUGUGUGUGUG